rnacentral:rRNA from 1 species
UACGUAGGGCGCAAGCGUUGUCCGGAAUUAUUGGGCGUAAAGAGCUCGUAGGCGGUUUGUCGCGUCUGCUGUGAAAACUCGAGGCUCAACCUCGGGCUUGCAGUGGGUACGGGGCAGACUAGAGUGCGGUAGGGGUGACUGGAAUUCCUGGUGUAGCGGUGGAAUGCGCAGAUAUCAGGAAGAACACCAAUGGCGAAGGCAGCUCUCUGGGACGGUACUGACGCUGAGACGCGAAAGCGUGGGGAGCGAACAGG